GGAUGGCCGAGUGGUUAAGGCAUUGGACUGAAGAUCCAAUGAGCACAUGUUCACGUGGGUUCAAACCACACUCC
rnacentral:tRNA from 1 species